GUAACACGUAAAGAACCUGCCCUCAGGUCUGGGAUAACCACGAGAAAUCGGGGCUAAUACCGGAUGGGUCAUCGGACCGCAUGGUCCGAGGAUGAAAGGCGCUUCGGCGUUGCCUGGGGAUGGCUUUGCGGUGCAUUAGCUAGUUGGUGGGGUAAUGGCCCACCAAGGCGACGAUGCAUAGCCGACCUGAGAGGGUGAUCGGCCACACUGGGACUGAGACACGGCCCAGACUCCUACGGGAGGCAGCAGUAGGGAAUCUUCCACAAUGGACGAAAGUCUGAUGGAGCAACGCCGCGUGAACGAUGAAGGCCUUCGGGUCGUAAAGUUCUGUUGUAAGGGAAGAACAAGUGCCGCAGGCAAUGGCGGCACCUUGACGGUACCUUGCGAGAAAGCCACGGCUAACUACGUGCCAGCAGCCGCGGUAAUACGUAGGUGGCAAGCGUUGUCCGGAAUUAUUGGGCGUAAAGCGCGCGCAGGCGGCCUCUUAAGUCUGAUGUGAAAGCCCCCGGCUCAACCGGGGAGGGCCAUUGGAAACUGGGAGGCUUGAGUAUAGGAGAGAAGAGUGGAAUUCCACGUGUAGCGGUGAAAUGCGUAGAGAUGUGGAGGAACACCAGUGGCGAAGGCGACUCUUUGGCCUAUAACUGACGCUGAGGCG
rnacentral:rRNA from 1 species